UACGUGGGAAGUCCACCCGCCGAGGACGGAAGUGGCGAGCGCGGUCUCCUGGGCCCGAGCCCGAGAGACAGGACUCACCCUGCGUGAAGCCGCAAAAAAAUCCUACCCCGGAAACACCUGUCGCUGCGGGCGGUGCUGCGGUUGGACGGUUACUGUUUCCCGGGGUACAGUGGAUAAUAAUAGGCUCUUUGAUGGGAGAAGCACCUGUGUGUCCUUCUCAGAUGAACUGAAACCUAAAUUCAUUUGUAAAAGUGGGAGAAUUUAACCCCUUCAAGAAUGGUAUUGUUUGAUCAGGGAGCAGAACAAUGCAGCUGCUGGCCCUCACUCCCCGCCCCGCGCAAGGCCAACCCCCACCGGAUCUCUCCGGAUCGCUCCGUCCCAAGGCCAGCCAUCUGGACCAGCAGAAGAUAAGGCCGUUUCGCCUGACUAUUAAACCUUGAGAAAAUGCUGAUUUGAUGCUUUUCGCUUCUGUACUGUGCCUGUUUUCCCUUAUAAAAAGGACCCCCCUUCCGGGGCUCGGGGCUUGGCAAAACAGAAGCUAAGCCCCGGAUAUCCGUGUUAUUAAUAAACCCUCUUGCUCUUGCAUCCAAAGUUCGUGGUUUCGCUGAUUCCUGGGUGUGGGUCUCCUUCUACGAAAGUACCUCUGCGAGGGUCUUUCAAGAGAAAGGAGACCA
rnacentral:lncRNA from 1 species